CAAGAAGUAGUUUAAUUAAAAAUAUUAAUUUUGGAGAUUAAUGAAAAAAGUCAUUCUUUUUUUCUUGA
rnacentral:tRNA from 1 species